rnacentral:rRNA from 1 species
CCUACGGGUGGCAGCAGUGAGGAAUAUUGGUCAAUGGCCGGAAGGCUGAACCAGCCAUGCCGCGUGAAGGUCAGUGCCCUUUGGGCGUUAAACUUCUUUUGUGCGGGAGCAAUCAUGCUCAAGUUUGGCCAGACGAGAGUACCGUACGAAUAAGGAUCUGCUAACUCCGUGCCAGCAGCCGCGGUAAUACGGAGGAUCUGAGCGUUAUCCGGAUUUAUUGGGUGUAAAGGGGGCGUAGGUGGGUUGUUAAGUCAGUUGUGAAAGUUUGCGGGUUAACCAUAAAAUUGCAAUUGAUACUGGCAGUAUUGAGUAGAGGUGAGGUAGGCGGAAUUCGUGGUGGAGCGGUGAAAUGCAUAGAGAUCACGAAGAACCCCGAUUGCGAAGGCAGCUUGCUAAACUGUGACUGACAUUGAUGCACGAAAGUGUGGGUAUCAAACAGGAUUAGAUACCCGGGUAGUC